CAGCUCCAAUAGCGUAUAUUAAAGUUGUUGUGGUUAAAAAGCUCGUAGUUGGAUCUCGGCGGACAGAAGUCGGUCCGAAUGCUUUCGGUACUGGCUUGUUUGUCCGUGUGUUUUGCCAGAGGCAGGCGGGUGCUCUUCGCCGAGUGUCCGUCUGUGCUGGCAGGUUUACUUUGAAAAAAUUAGAGUGCUCAAAGCAAGCUCUCACGCUUGAAUAUUCGUGCAUGGAAUAAUAGAAUAGGAUGUCGUUUCUAUUUUGUUGGUUUUCGGAAAUCGACAUAAUGAUUAAUAGGGACAGUCGGGGGCAUUUGUAUUCAAACGACAGAGGUGAAAUUCUUGGACCGUUUGAAGACAAACUACUGCGAAAGCAUUUGCCAAGAAUGUUUUCAUUAAUCAAGAACGAAAGUUAGAGGUUCGAAGGCGAUUAGAUACCGCCCUAGUUCUAACCAUAAACGAUGCCAGCUAGCGAUCUGCAGGCGUUUUACUUUACGACCUUGCAGGGAGCUUCCGGGAAACCAAAGCUUGUGGGUUCCAGGGGAAGUAUGGUUGCAAAGCUGAAACUUAAAGGAAUUGACGGAAGGGCACCACCAGGAGUGGAGCCUGCGGCUUAAUUCGACUCAAC
rnacentral:rRNA from 1 species